rnacentral:misc_RNA from 1 species
GUGAAUCAUCAAAUUUUUGAACGCAAAUUGCACUCUCUGGUAUUCCGGAGAGUAUGCCUGUUUGAGGGUCAGUUUAAAUAAAAAUCGUUGUUUUUUCUGCCUUUCUUGUUUAUGCACCGGAUUUUGUUCGUCUUGCCUUCGGUUAAGUGACCUAAAAUUUUUCAUUAUUUUUUUCAAACGUAUUUAAAUGAUUUUACUUACAUUUUCGAUAUCGAAUACUUGUUUUUGUCAUUCUCAUGAUUCGC